UACGAAGGGUGCAAACGUUGCUCGGAAUUAUUGGGCGUAAAGCGCACGUAGGCGGCUUGGCAAGUCGGAUGUGAAAUCCCUCGGCUCAACCGAGGAACUGCAUCCGAUACUGGCGGGCUUGAAUCCGGGAGAGGGAUGUGGAAUUCCAGGUGUAGCGGUGAAAUGCGUAGAUAUCUGGAGGAACACCGGUGGCGAAGGCGGCAUCCUGGACCGGUAUUGACGCUGAGGCGCGAAAGCUAGGGGAGCAAACGGG
rnacentral:rRNA from 1 species